rnacentral:tRNA from 1 species
GGGGGCAUAGCUCAGGGGUAGAGCGCUCGCUUCGCAUGCGAGAAGUCCGGGGUUCAAUUCCCCGUGCCUGCA